GCUGAGAAAUAUGCAGGGGGGGGAGGGGGGUGCAAGUUUACUAUUUGUGAAAGAGACAGACGUAGAAUUGAUAACAAAUACUACAGCAACUGAUUCAUUCGCGGGAGGCCUGUCUUCUGCAACCCUCGGAGGAUCCAGCUUGUUCUUUCACCCCAGAGGUAUCCGACUCCUACCACGUCCUCCAUCUCUAAUCAUCUCCAGAGGAUGGCCAGGGAGUAGGAGGAGCAGAAGGUCUCCUCACAGAAGGCGCUGGCCCUGCUGGAGGCCAGCCGGAGGUCCACGGUGUCCCGGUGCAGCCGCCUCCUUCAGGUACAGCCACCUACAGGUACAGCCACCUACUAACCAAUGGCAUAUUUUCACUGGAGCCAAUCAGGUUUAAGUAAUCCAACAACUGGAGCCCGGCAACAACAAA